CACUGGGGCUCAGACUGGAGUGAAGGAGACAGACAUCCACAGACAGGUGCAGGGGCCACAUGGGUGACAGACUGCGCUGGGAGCUGGGAAAGGAGCAGGGGUCUGUGCACUGGGUGGUCAGAGAGGGGUGUCUGAGGAAGUGUGUCUAGGUAGGGCUGAGCACUUAAACAGGAGGGAGGGAAAUGCAGGCAGAAGUCACGUGUCUGCGUCAUACCCUGUAAGGAGAGAGAGAAGUAGAGGCAGUAUGUAGGGUCACUGAGGCAGGCACAGGUCACACUUUGGGCUCGAUGCCAAGGACACUGGGCACAUGUGGAGAAUAGAGAGCAGAGCAGCAUUGUUGCCCAGCCACCGACUGAAGGGGACUCUGGUUCCUGACUGACUGGCUGAGGGGAGCAGGGGCAGGAUGUCCCUCUAGGGGCAGGCCACCCUCCAAAGCAGCAAGCACUGCCCACUGGUGAUCCAGUGAUGUGGGGCUAUGCAGCCACAGUUGCUGGGCCCCGUGUGGGUGUGGUGAUCAUCACAGUGCUUCUCAGUAAGUAAACACAGCGAGUUAAUACGUUAACCACACAGCUAAUUCAGCCUUUUAAACAGAAGAGCUGACUGGGCCCCUCACAGCUGCUGAGAGUGAGUCAACCUGCUUGUUUGCUAGGACAGACUUGAUUCCUGAGGCAGUCUGCUUCCUGUGGUCCCAUCAGCAAACAAGCAACACAGACCACAGGGGAGGCCAGAAUUACAGUUGUUCACUAUUGGAUCAGCUGCAUAAGCUCUUACCACAAAGCAGCAGCUGGAGUCACAGAUGGUCUGGUGGAUGAGGACCACGCGCACUGUUGGCCCAGUUCUGUGGCAUCUUCGACAGGACAGGAUGCAAUGAGAGGAAGCCGGCUUUUCAAAGAAGAAUCAGUUACAGCUGCACAAUGACUUCCUUUUUUUCUUUAUUGCCACUGAGGUCAUCGAUGAGGCCUGGUACCUGCAAGGUGAAUCCACCACUCCUGGCAGCCACUUUUUCCUUUUCUUUUUACAUAACAGGACAGAGAGACAUUGAGAGGCAUGUUGGGGGGUGAUAAAGAUUCAGAGACACCUGCAGCCCAGAUUCACCACUCGUGAAAGUUUCCCCACUGUGGGAGGGCUCGGGUGUGGAACUCAGGUCCUUGCGCAUGGUGAGGUGUGUUCAGUCAGGUGUGCCACCGCCUGGCCCCUGCACGGGUGUUGGUAUGUUUCAUAUUGAUUUGCUCUCCUUCCCCCUGACCUCUGAGAGAAUUGGUUUGGCCCUUGCUAGUUUCAUGCCCCGCUUUCUCCCUGUCCCCUAUGCUAAGGAUGUCCAGAGUCCCAGCAGGAGCUGGUGAGGGAGAAAGAUGGGGAAACACAUGGUGUGGUGAUUUGCCCACUCGUGAAUAAAGAUUAAACUGCAGCUUCUUGGCCCAGC